CUCGUGUCGUGAGAUGUUGGGUUAAGUCCCGCAACGAGCGCAACCCUUAUGCUUAGUUGCCAGCAGGUCAAGCUGGGCACUCUAAGCAGACUGCCGGUGACAAACCGGAGGAAGGUGGGGAUGACGUCAAAUCAUCAUGCCCCUUAUGACCUGGGCUACACACGUACUACAAUGGCCGGUACAACGGGAAGCGAAGGAGCGAUCUGGAGCCAAUCCUAGAAAAGCCGGUCUCAGUUCGGAUUGUAGGCUGCAACUCGCCUACAUGAAGUCGGAAUUGCUAGUAAUCGCGGAUCAGCAUGCCGCGGUGAAUACGUUCCCGGGUCUUGUACACACCGCCCGUCACACCACGAGAGUUUACAACACCCGAAGUCGGUGAGGUAACCGCAAGGAGCCAGCCGCCGAAGGUGGGGUAGAUGAUUGGGGUGAAGUCGUAACAAGGUAGCCGUAUCGGAAGGUGCGGCUGGAUCACCUCCUUUCUA
rnacentral:rRNA from 1 species